GGACCAGACUCCUACGGGAGGCAGCAGUGGGGAAUAUUGCGCAAUGGGGGAAACCCUGACGCAGCAACGCCGCGUGAGUGAAGACGUAUCUCGGUAUGUAAAGCUCUAUCAGCGGGGAAGAAGGAAGACGGUACCCGACUAAGAAGCCCCGGCUAACUACGUGCCAGCAGCCGCGGUAAUACGUAGGGGGCGAGCGUUAUCCGGAUUUACCGGGUGUAAAGGGAGCGUAGACGGCGUCGCAAGUCUGAAGUGAAAGCCCGUGGCUCAACCGCGGAACCGCUUUGGAGACUGCGAGGCUGGAGUGCUGGAGAGGUAAGCGGAAUUCCUGGUGUAGCGGUGAAAUGCGUAGAUAUCAGGAGGAACACCGGUGGCGAAGGCGACUUUCUGGACCGUAACUGACGUUGAGGCACGACAGUGUGGGGAGCAAACAGGAUUAGAUACCCGUGUA
rnacentral:rRNA from 1 species